AUUGAACGCUGGCGGCAUGCCUUACACAUGCAAGUCGAACGGCAGCACGGGAGCAAUCCUGGUGGCGAGUGGCGAACGGGUGAGUAAUAUAUCGGAACGUGCCCAGUCGUGGGGGAUAACGUAGCGAAAGCUACGCUAAUACCGCAUACGAUCUAUGGAUGAAAGCGGGGGAUCGCAAGACCUCGCGCGAUUGGAGCGGCCGAUAUCAGAUUAGGUAGUUGGUGAGGUAAAGGCUCACCAAGCCAACGAUCUGUAGCUGGUCUGAGAGGACGACCAGCCACACUGGAACUGAGACACGGUCCAGACUCCUACGGGAGGCAGCAGUGGGGAAUUUUUGGACAAUGGACGCAAGUCUGAUCCAGCCAUUCCGCGUGCAGGAUGAAGGCCCUCGGGUUGUAAACUGCUUUUGUACGGAACGAAAAGGUUUGUCUUAAUACGAUGAGCUCAUGACGGUACCGUAAGAAUAAGCACCGGCUAACUACGUG
rnacentral:rRNA from 1 species